GAACCCUAAACUGCAUGCACACAAACACAUUUGAACCGCCUAAUCAAGUUGAAUAGAAGUUGAAUAGUUGAUAUUUCAAACUUGGUAUUAUAUAGAUAUAAAAAAAAACAAAGAGAUGUGGACCACCAAAGCAUGCGGUCACAGUGCACACAAUCUAAAUUGAAUAUACUGAAAAUUUAAGCAUACAUAAUAAUAAUGCAACAUUAUUACCAUGGUGCGGGUGUUAGGUUUUAAUGGAACAGGACUUGACCAUAUACGGACCCUCUCUACCCAUCUUUUUCCAGACUUGGGCCUGGAAAGUUGUUGCAGGGCUGUUGGAAGGUUGAGGAUGGGCAGCAUCGUUUGCUUUAAAGGUAAUGUAAUAAGUAGGGGGAAAUGGACUAUAGGCUGCCUUGACAAGUUCAUCAAACACGAAAUUUGAACCCUAAAUAAGAAAGAAAGAUUAAUGAAGUUGAUGAAUGAAUAAACUAUUAUGUAUANNNNNNNNNNNNNNNNNNNNNNNNNNNNNNNNNNNNNNNNNNNNNNNNNNNNNNNNNNNNNNNNNNNNNNNNNNNNNNNNNNNNNNNNNNNNNNNNNNNNNNNNNNNNNNNNNAUGCUAAGGGUGGAAUAGGAAUAGCAUCGAAGGGCUGUGCAGGAUGAGAGUAAGAUAUUAAUAAUAAUAUAAAAAACAAAAUGAAACACAAAAUAAGAUAGAAAGAAAAAGAUACGUACAGAUACGUCACGAGAGAGCUCUAAAUACUCAGCGAGGGCUUUCUCUAUCUCCUCCUCUCUUUUAAGAAAAGCUUUAUUCUUAUACACAAAUUGCGUACAUGAAAACCAAAAAAGAGAAGGGUCAUCGUCAUAACGGCUAGCCAAAUCAUUCACCGUCAGCUUUUCAAUUGGUAUUAACUCCCAAUCCGAUCUCGGGUCUAAUUCCGGUUCCGAUUCAGAUUCCGGUUCCUGUUCCGGUACCAGUUCUGGAUCCUGUUACGGUAACAGUUCUGGUUCCUGUUCCGGCACCAGUUCCGACUCCGAUUCCGAUUCGAGUACGAAUUCGGAUUCGGAUUCAUAUUCGGAUUCAUAUUCGGAUUCCGUAUCCGAUGCAAUAUAUGGUUCCAGUACCAGUUCCGAUAGCUUAUCCGGCACCGAUUUCAGCCGAUUGUCAUCGGAGAUUUCCGGGGGUGAUUGGGUGACGGGGAGCAAGAGUGAAUCCAUGGACAUUGGGCAAGAAGGAUCAAAGGAAUCGCAAUUCAUUCAAAUUCACAUAAACCUAACUAAAGAGACUAGUCCUCUUUAAUAGGCAAUAAGAAAGCUGAGUGUUUUUAGUAUGAGCCUGGUCUUGUUUUUGAUCCGCCCAAUAACAAAUCCUAUUACAUAAUAUCUCUUUUUGCACCACAUUUUCCUUUCUUCUCCAGUGUGGGUGAUUUAUUUGUAAAAGCUACAUUUUUAUCUUAUUUAAUUAUAAUAUUUGGGUACAAGUCUUUUAUCUUUUAAAAAACUUACAAGUUAUUAUUUUUAUUUUUAUUUUUUUAUUAAGAAAUAUUGAAAUGACAUACAAUAUAUGAUGAUUUUAAGAAAAAGAGGAUUCUACCUUGGUGUAUCUAAAUGUAUCACUUCCUUAAUUAAUGUGAAAAUAUAAUUUUAUUUUUUAAUUUUUUUAGCAUCUUAUUUUUUCCACCAUUCUUUUCAGAAUAUUCGAAAGUUUUAAAAUGAAAAUUUUUAAAUUUUCGAAAAUUUAAAACAAUUGAAAAUUUCCGAAAUAGAAAAUUCUAAAAUUUUUAAAACUUCCGAAAUAUGAAAAUUUCGAAACUUUUCAAAAUUAGAAACUUUCUAAACUUUUCAAAUUUUCAACAUAUAAUCCUUAUUUAGAAAUUUUUCAUAUUAGGAAACUUUCGAAAAUUACAAGAUUUAGAAACUUUUGAAACCUUCAAAUUUUUUUAAAUGUAAUCCUUAUUUUGAAAAUUUGAAACUUAUAAAAGUUUCAAAAAUUGGAAACUUCCAAAACUAUUAAAUUUAAAACUUACUAUAAAUGACGAAAAAGAUAAAACUAUAUUUUCAUAUAUCUUGAGGGAGUGACAAGAUUAAGUGUGAGGUGACACGUGAAAUCCUUGAAAAAAAAUGUAUAGGAAAGCUAGUUUGUUGACACCUCUCUUUUCUUGGAAUUAGAUAUUAGAAUAGACUAUGUCGUCGGUUAGUGGCAUGUGGUCUGACCUACUUAUAGAUAUGCGAAUAGGCUAGGCCGCCGGUCUGGCAUAUUUAAUAAAAAAGGUUAGGCUCAUGCUAUUUUUAAAGCUUAUUUAUUUAAAUAGAUCAUGUUCAAGCUUAUAAAAAAGCCUAUUAUGCCUAACAGGGCGGCCUAUAUUUAUUUUACUAUUUAUUAAUGUUAUUUUUAUAUUGUUAUAUUAAUAAUAGUAUUUCCUAUUUUAAAAUCUAUCAAUUAAACAACCACUCAGUAAUAAUUCUAUAUUUCAGUAGUUGUUUCAUAUUCGGUAACAAUUCUAUAUUCGGUAGUCAUUCUAUAUUCGAUAGCCGUUUAAUUAGUCAAUAAAAAAUUUAUUAUUUAAAAUCAAAAGUUAUUUUUUUGGUUUUAGAGGAUAUUUGUUUCAGAUUUUUUUAAAUUUAUUUUGUUACAAAAUUUAUUUUUUGUUUAAUAUAUAUAGAUAUAUAGACAUUUAUAUUGGUAUGUGGAGUGUAUCAUGUGGUAUUAGUACAGUAUUUAAAUAUUUUAAUGUAAAUAAGGCUUUUAAAUAUGCUUUCAAGUCAGACCAGACUUUUUAAAAAGGCUAAGAUCGAAAAAAAAGUCUAUGAUAGGUCGUAGGCCUAAAAAAUAAAGGAUUUUGUACCACGCACCCCCCAUUUUUACCUCCCACCCCCUCAAUCAUGUGUAAAAGACCAUUUUACCCUCAAUUUCAUCUAUUAAAAUCCAAAAAAAAAAUUGACUUUCUUUUUUUACCCAAUUUCUUCCAAAGUUUGUAAUAUCUGAAUCUGAUCCUACUCACCCCUCGAACAUUUGAAACUUCUGAAUCUCAAAAGUAAGUAAAAAUUCGAAUAUUUCAAAUAUUCGAAAUGUAUGAAACCCCAAAUCGUUCGAAAGUUUGUAUCAUGUUGAAAGUUUCAAAAUGGAAGUCUCGAAAGUUUGAAAGUUUAGAAACAUAGAAACUUUCGAAAGUUUCAUGGAAUUAGAAAGUUUUGAAAUGGUUGAUGCUCGAAGAAAUGAAAAUUUCGAAAUAGAGGUCGAGAAUAUAAAAGUUUUGAAUGAUGAAACUUUCCAAGUAUAUUUUUCCCAUAAAUAAUGAAACUUUCGAAAUGCAAAAUUUUGCAAAACUUUCGAUAUAUGUUGAGUUUCGAAAAUUUGGUAUUAAUGGAAAGUUUCGAAAUACAUUUUUAUUAGUAAUAAAUAGUAAUAAAUUAAUAGUAAUAAAUAAUAAUAAAUUUAUAAUAAUAAAUUUAUGCUAAUAAAUUAAUACUAAUGAUAAAUUUGAUAUUUAAUUUCGAAAGUUUCAGUCAUUUUUUAAAAAAAAUUGAAAGUUUCAAAUUCAUCCAAACUUUGGGAGUUUUCUGGAAAAAAUACACUUCGAAAAUUUCGUAUUUAUCCAAAGUUUUGAAAUUUCUGGAAUAUUUCAUUUCGAAAGUUUGGUAUUUUUCCAAAGUUUUGAAAUUAGUAAUUUUUUCUGCAUAAUUACAUUUCAAAAGUUUCCAAUUUAACAAAACAUUCGAAAGUUGAGGUGGAAAACUGAAAUGGAAAUUUUUUCCAUAAUUUUAUACAAAUUAAAUAAGGGUAAAAUAGUCUUUAAAAAAAUUGGAGGGGUGGGAGGUAAAAAUGGGGGGUGCGUGGUAGAUAACCCAAAAAUAAAUCGUAUGCUAGACUCAUGCCUUUCAAAGCAUGGCCUAGCUUGGCUAUUCUCACCCCUACCUAUUUAUGGUCUGAUCUGGUGUGGUCUGACCUAUUUAAUAAAGAUGACAGGCUUAUGCUAUUUUUAAAGCCUAUUUAUUUAAAUAGGUCAAGUUCAUACUUAUAAAAAAAGCAUAUUAGGUCUGAUAGGUCGACAUAUAAAUAUAUAUAUAUAUAUAUAUAUAUAUUAUUAAUUUUAUUUUGUAUUAUUUUUUAUUUAUAAUAUUAUUUCAUAUUUUAAAGUCAAUCAAUUAGACAAUCACUAAGUAGUCGUUCCAUAUUCAAUAGCAAUAUCAUAUUCGGUAAUCGUUCCAUAUUCGAUAGCCGUUCAAUUAGACAAUCAUUUAGUGGUUGUUCCACAUUUGUUUGAGAGGAAAUAAAUGGUGCAUUUGUUCCAGGAAAAAAUGUUAUUUGAAAUCAAAAAUCAUUUUAGGGUUUAAAUGGUGUUUGUUUCAGAUUUUUUUUAAAUCAUUUUGUUAGAAAAAUCAUUUUUUGUUUAAUACAUAUAGAUAUGUAAAAUAUUACAUUAAAAUAUUUUAAUAUUAAUAAAGUUUUUAAAUAGGCUUUCAAAUCAGACCAGACCAUACUUUUAAAAAGGUCAGACCGAAAAACAACAAAAUCUAUGAUAGGUCGUAGGCCAAACUUAGACCUAAAAAAUUAAUCUAUAAUAUGUCAGACUCAGUCUUUCAAAAUCUGGUUUGGCAUGUGUUCUAUUCCCACCCUUACUUGGAAUGAAAGCAUGCCUUGCUGGAAAAUAGCAAAAAAGAAGCUCUCGCUCUUCUGACCACAAGAAUGAAUUGUUCUUUCCUAAGGUUUUUGACCACUUCAAAGUCCUACCCUUUUUUAUUUUUUUUAAAGUUUUUUUUAUUAAAAAUAACAAAAGCAAAAACUUCAGUAUUAUAUUCAUGCUGAAUUUGAAAAUAAAUCAAUUCAAAAAUAAAACAUAUUUAUUUUAUAUGCAUGGAUAAUGUAAAUAUUUUAUAUAUUAUCAAUCAACUACAAUUGUUAAAUCAUUAGAGAUAUUUGACAUUAUUAUAAUUAUAUUUAAAGUCAUACAUAUGAAUGAAUGUAACAGGAUGAUAAUAUAUAAUUUUGUACAUUACAUUGAUUGAGAAUUAAACUCAUAAAAAUGAAAACUCAAAAUUAAACCUUACAUUUAUUAAACCUGUGAAAAAAAUGAAAAUAAAACAAUAUAAUUCAAAUAAAGUUUAAUGGUCGUGCAUCGUCGGUGUAAACAGAUUUAUACUAAUAAUUAACACGAGCCAUGAAUUGUGUAGUUAUUUAUUGAUGAAAGUUAGAAUCAUAUUACGAAAUAGUUAAAUCAAUUAUUCUUAUUAAUAGUUAAUUUCAGGUAGCGAAUACUAGUUAAUUGCAAAAUUACAUAAUCAUGAUGUACAAAAUGUAUAACUUACGUGAUUAAAAUUCCUAUUAAACACAUUUUUAACAUGCUAUAAAAUAACUCCAAGUAUAAAAAACUUCAUUAACCACUUAAUAAUUACUUUUUGACAAGACAAUAACCACAUUUUUAACUUAUUAUAAAAAUGACCACAACUAUAUAAAGUUUUGCAUUAACCAUUAAAUUGAAUAUACUAAAAAUUUAAGCAUACAUGAUAAUAAUGCAACAUAAUUACCAUGGUGCGGGUGUUAGGUUUUAAUGGAACAGGACUUGACCAUAUACGGACCCUUUCUAGCCACCAUGUUCCAGACUUGGGCCUGGAAAGUUGUUGCAGGGCUGUCGGAAGGUUGAGGAUGGGCAGCAUCGUUUGCUUUAAAGGUAAUGUAAUAAGUAGGGG
rnacentral:lncRNA from 1 species